AGAGUUUGAUCAUGGCUCAGAACGAACGCUGGCGGCAGGCUUAACACAUGCAAGUCGAACGCCCCGCAAGGGGAGUGGCAGACGGGUGAGUAACACGUGGGAACGUGCCCUAAGGUACGGAACAACUCCGGGAAACUGGAGCUAAUACCGUAUGUGCCCGAGAGGGGAAAGAUUUAUCGCCUUGGGAUCGGCCCGCGUCUGAUUAGCUAGUUGGUAGGGUAAUGGCCUACCAAGGCUACGAUCAGUAGCUGGUCUGAGAGGAUGGCCAGCCACACUGGGACUGAGACACGGCCCAGACUCCUACGGGAGGCAGCAGUGGGGAAUAUUGGACAAUGGGCGAAAGCCUGAUCCAGCCAUGCCGCGUGAGUGAUGAAGGCCUUAGGGUUGUAAAGCUCUUUCGCCAGGGACGAUAAUGACGGUACCUGGAUAAGAAGCCCCGGCUAACUUCGUGCCAGCAGCCGCGGUA
rnacentral:rRNA from 1 species